rnacentral:tRNA from 1 species
GCAUUACUAGCUUAAGGGUAAAGCCUUAUAAUGUCAUUAUAAGUGAUGUCAGUUCGAGUCUGAUGUAAUGCG